UCUCGCUCUUGAACAAAACGC
rnacentral:piRNA from 1 species